rnacentral:rRNA from 1 species
AGGACAUUAUCGAGUUUUGAAUGGGUUGUCUGCUGGCUCGCAAGGGCAUGUGCACGCCUGUCUCAUCCACUCUCAACUUCUGUGCACUUUUCAUAGGCCGGCUUGUGGGUGCGUUCGCGCACUUGUAGGUGUCGGGCUUAUGCUUUACUACAAACGAUUCAGUUUUAGAAUGUCAUACUUUGCUAUAACGCAAUUAUAUACAACUUUCAGCAACGGAUCUCUUGGCUCUCGCAUCGAUGAAGAACGCAGCGAAAUGCGAUAAGUAAUGUGAAUUGCAGAAUUCAGUGAAUCAUCGAAUCUUUGAACGCACCUUGCGCUCCUUGGUAUUCCGAGGAGCAUGCCUGUUUGAGUCUCAUGGAAUUCUCAACCUUCAGCUUUAUUGAUGAAGGCUUGGACUUGGAGGUCGUGCCGGCUCUCGUAGUCGGCUCCUCUGAAAUGCAUUAGUGCGAACGUUACCAGCCGCUUCAGCGUGAUAAUUAUCUGCGUUGCUGUGGAGGGUAUUCUAGUGUUCACGCUUCUAACCGUCUUCGGACAAAUUUCUGAACUCUGAGCUCAAAUCAGGUAGGACUACCCGCUGAACUUAAGCAUAU